CGGAAGCGUGCUGGGCCCAUAACCCAGA
rnacentral:piRNA from 6 species